GGAGGCGUCCGAGCGCCUGGUGGGCUCCUCGGUCUUCAAAACCGAUGAAGGGUUCUUUGAGUCCUUGGCGGGUUCGAUUCCCGUCCGCCUCCG
rnacentral:tRNA from 1 species